rnacentral:rRNA from 1 species
UACGAAGGGGGCUAGCGUUGUUCGGAAUUACUGGGCGUAAAGCGCGCGCAGGCGGCUAUCCAAGUCAGUGGUGAAAGCCCGGAGCUCAACUCCGGAACUGCCAUUGAAACUGUUUAGCUUGAGGAUGAGAGAGGUGAGUGGAAUUCCCAGUGUAGAGGUGAAAUUCGUAGAUAUUGGGAAGAACACCGGUGGCGAAGGCGGCUCUCUGGACCGAGACUGACGCUGAGGCGCGAAAGCGUGGGUAGCAAACGAGG